UACGGAGGGGGCUAGCGUUGUUCGGAAUUACUGGGCGUAAAGCGCACGUAGGCGGCUUUGCAAGUUAGUGGUGAAAGCCCGGGGCUCAACUCCGGAAUUGCCUUUAAAACUGCAUCGCUAGAAUUGUGGAGAGGUAAGUGGAAUUCCGAGUGUAGAGGUGAAAUUCGUAGAUAUUCGCAAGAACACCAGUGGCGAAGGCGGCUCACUGGCCCGGAACUGACGCUGAGACGCGAAAGCGUGGGGAGCAAACAGG
rnacentral:rRNA from 1 species